rnacentral:rRNA from 1 species
UGGGGAAUAUUGCACAAUGGGCGCAAGCCUGAUGCAGCCAUGCCGCGUGUGUGAAGAAGGCCUUCGGGUUGUAAAGCACUUUCAGCGGGGAGGAAGGCGUUAAGGUUAAUAACCUUGGCGAUUGACGUUACCCGCAGAAGAAGCACCGGCUAACUCCGUGCCAGCAGCCGCGGUAAUACGGAGGGUGCAAGCGUUAAUCGGAAUUACUGGGCGUAAAGCGCACGCAGGCGGUCUGUCAAGUCGGAUGUGAAAACCCCGGGCUCAACCUGGGAACUGCAUUCGAAACUGGCAGGCUAGAGUCUUGUAGAGGGGGGAAGAAUUCCAGGUGUAGCGGUGAAAUGCGUAGAGAUCUGGAGGAAUACCGGUGGCGAAGGCGGCCCCCUGGACAAAGACUGACGCUCAGGUGCGAAAGCGUGGGGAGCAAACAGG